AGCUCCAAUAGUGUAUCUUAAGGUUGUUGCGGUUAAAAGGCUCGUAGUUGGAUUUCUGCUGAGGACGACCGGGCCGCCCUCUGGGCGAGUAUGUGGCUCGACCUUGGCAUCCUCUGGAAGAACGUAACUGCAUUUGACUGUGUGGUGCGGUACUCAAGACUUUUACUUUGAGGACAUUACCUUGUUCGAAGCAGGCGCAUGCCUUGAAUACAUUAGCAUGAAGAAUGCUAUGUUGUUGGUUUCUAGAACUGAAGUAA
rnacentral:rRNA from 1 species